ACUGCUCAGUAACACGUGGAUAACCUGCCCUUGGGUCCGGCAUAACCCCGGGAAACUGGGGAUAAUUCCGGAUAACGCACAUAUGCUGGAGUGCUUUAUGCGUAAAAUGGAUUCGUCUGCCCAAGGAUGGGUCUGCGGCCUAUCAGGUAGUAGUGGGUGUAAUGUACCUACUAGCCUACAACGGGUACGGGUUGUGAGAGCAAGAGCCCGGAGAUGGAUUCUGAGACAUGAAUCCAGGCCCUACGGGGCGCAGCAGGCGCGAAAACUUUACAAUGCGGGAAACCGUGAUAAGGGGACACCGAGUGCCAGCAUCAUAUGCUGGCUGUCCAGGUGUGUAAAAUACACCUGUUAGCAAGGGCCGGGCAAGACCGGUGCCAGCCGCCGCGGUAACACCGGCGGCCCGAGUGGUGAUCGUGAUUAUUGGGUCUAAAGGGUCCGUAGCCGGUUUGGUCAGUCCUCCGGGAAAUCUGAUAGCUCAACUAUUAGGCUUUCGGGGGAUACUGCCAGGCUUGGAACCGGGAGAGGUAAGAGGUACUACAGGGGUAGGAGUGAAAUCUUGUAAUCCCUGUGGGACCACCUGUGGCGAAGGCGUCUUACCAGAACGGGUUCGACGGUGAGGGACGAAAGCUGGGGGCACGAACCGGAUUAGAUACCCGGGUAGUCCCAGCCGUAAACGAUGCUCGCUAGGUGUCAGGCAUGGCGCGACCGUGUCUGGUGCCGCAGGGAAGCCGUGAAGCGAGCCACCUGGGAAGUACGGCCGCAAGGCUGAAACUUAAAGGAAUUGGCGGGGGAGCAC
rnacentral:rRNA from 1 species